UACAGAGGGCCCAAGCGUUACUGAGAAUCACUGGGUUUAAAGGGUCCGUAGGCGGAUCUGUAAGUCAGUGGUGAAAUCUCACAGCUUAACUGUGAAACUGCCAUUGAUACUGCAGGUCUUGAGUGUUGUUGAAGUAGCUGGAAUAAGUAGUGUAGCGGUGAAAUGCAUAGAUACUACUUAGAACACCAAUUGCGAAGGCAGGUUACUAAGCAACAACUGACGCUGAUGGACGAAAGCGUGGGGAGCGAACAGG
rnacentral:rRNA from 1 species